CCCCUUUUCUUUUCUUGUCGUUUUGUCCCUCUUUUUCUAGCCGUCCUGGCCCUGUAGCACAUAUAUCGGAAAUGAGAAAAAGGCAUUUUGUGUUACCUUGUCCGCGCGUAGUACUAAUAUUGUCGUUCGUUGACCCUUUCUCGUUGUUUGGCCUGUUUGGCUUAGAGGUCGUCGUGGGAGAGGGCUCUUCCCUUCCGUCCGAUCUCGCCAUGUGGCCGAGUCUUGCCACCGUUUUUAACCCUUGCUGGCGAAGUGGCGGAUGGAGCCCGGCUUUCUUAGGAGCCCGGGCGAAGUCUUUCUUGGGGGCGGAACCUGGCUCCUGUAGGAGUCUGGGUGAAGCUUUCCUGGCGGCGGAACCCGGCUCCCGUAGGAGUCCGGGUGGAGUUUAUCUUGGCGGCGGAACCCGGCUCCUGUAGGAGUCCGGGUGAAGCUUUACCUUGGCGGCGGAACCCGGCUCCCGUAGGAGUCCGGGUGAAGUUUUACCUUGGCGGCGGAACCCGGCUCCCGUAGG
rnacentral:lncRNA from 1 species